GUUGAAAUGACGUAGUGUGUCCAGUGGUUCGUCUCUGAUACACCUGGAUCACUGAUGGACCAGUCACAUUUAUUUAAUGAAAUUAAGAAGUGGUGGUAGAGUAGAAUAUCUUCAUUGGAGAAGUUGUCUCACAGAGGUACGCUGGACUCAUUUAGGUGGUGGAACUCAAUUAGGAUUUGUGACGUUAGAGAAGUGAUAUGAGACAAGGAGUCCCAGAGAGAGACUACAUCUUCUAGUGUUCAUGUUAAUGAUGUUCUCACUGUCUUCCAUCUACUCUACAUGUUUACAGAGGACUUCUGCAACCAUAAAAAUGAAGUUGAAAAGAAUCUCACUGAAAAACUGGGUAAGUUGUGUCCUUCAUAUCUCUGAUACCCCUGGAUCACUGAUGGACCAGUCACAUUAAUGUUGAUGUUCUAGAACAGGAUGUGUUGAGACUGUAGAGGACCACUAGCCUAGAGAGAGGUAGUCUCUGAUACCCCUGGAUCACUGAUGGACCAGUCACAUUAAUGUUGAUGUUCUAGAACAGGAUGUGUUGAGGCUGUAGAGGACCACUAGACUAGAGAGAGGUAGUCUCUGAUACACCUGGAUCACUGAUGGACCAGUCACAUUAAUGUUGAUGUUCUAGAACAGGAUGUGUUGAGGCUGUAGAGGACCACUAGACUAGAGAGAGGUAGUCUCUGAUACACCUGGAUCACUGAUGGACCAGUCACAUUAAUGUUGAUGUUCUAGAACAGGAUGUGUUGAGGCUGUAGAGGACCACUAGACUAGAGAGAGAGGUAGUCUCUGAUACACCUGGAUCACUGAUGGACCAGUCACAGAGAAACACAUGUUAAACUGACACUAUUACAGGAACAGGCAUAAGCCAUUAUAUAGAUGCCUCACCUGUCUGCAUAGACUCUAGACUUGCUGACUUCCACAGAUUCACAUGCACAUAAAGUAUGAUCUAUUAAGUUAGAUGAUGGAAAUUAUUAGAUAUGAUUAGAGCAAGAUUAAUCAUCAUUGGAGAAUGAAGUCAAGAGGUGGUAGGGAGGAUCAUCUUUAUUGGAUCAGUCUCACCUCACUGGGAAGCUAGUUAAGUAGUGUCUUCAGAUCAUCACUUUACUAACAUUAUGUUAACCAAUAUAUAUUCU
rnacentral:lncRNA from 1 species